AUGAGAACCAGCCUCCUCCUUGUGGCCAUUGCCACCAUCGUCCAUGUCGUUGCUACGCCAACCACGGCAAUCCCCGGGGGCUGGUUUAAGAUCAAGAACAUCGCUGACCCGCACAUCCAGGAGCUUGGCAAGUGGGCAGUAUUGGAGCACGGGGGGGGGGGCAAUGAUGGGCUCAGGUUUGUGAAGGUGGUGAGUGGCGAGGAGCAGAUUGUGAAUGGUAUAAACUAUCGGCUCAUCAUUGAUGCCUUGAGACUGGAUGGCUCACACGGUACAUACAAGGCAGUGUUGUUCGAGAAGGACUCGAGUAACCCAAAGACACGGAAGUUCAUAUCUUUCACCCCUGCAAAUUGA
rnacentral:rRNA from 1 species